rnacentral:RNase_P_RNA from 1 species
CUAGGAAGCAGGACGAUUAGUCCGACGAGCGCAAGCGAUAUCGGACAGGAAAGUCCAGACAGCAUAGAGCAGGGUGUCCGGUGUAAACCGGCCAGCCGUAAGGCAGAGUUAGAGCAACAGUGACGAACCGAGGUCAAGCUCGGGUGAAACGGGCAAUCCUCCCCGCUGCAAUCCUAGAACCGAUUAAGCUGCUCGCUUAACAAUCGAAAUCAGGAGCAUUAGACAAAUUAUCGUCGGUAGUUUAGUUACCAGAGCUAAAUUACUAACAGAAUCUGGCUUACUAACUUCCUAGGCAG